AGGGCAGGUUGACAUUCCCUGCCCACUAAUCAACCCACAUACCCAAAAAGGAAAAGUAAAGAAAGGAGGUGAAUGGUUUCCAAUAUUGAAUACUUACAAGAAAAAAAAAUUGCCACAAAUCACAAGACAAUUUCAAAUUAUAAAAGGCAAGCAUGAAGAAAUUUCUAUGUAUAAUUACCCUCCUAAUAAUUAAUUUGAAGACUAUAAACUCAAAAGACAUACUUCAUAUUGAAUCCAUAAAUGAAUUUCCUUAUAAACGUGGAGUCAACGAAAUAUUUUAUUUUGACCAAGGCGAUGAAAUACUUCUACUUACAAUAUCAGAAUUGAUAAGUGGGUUAAAUUCAAUGUCAGAACAUUUAAAGCGACAAACAUUAACUUUAACUGGAUUUUCUAAUAAGUUCCUAAAUUGCAAUGAUUGCAAAAAUGCUAAUAAAGAGUAAUCAAAAUUAUACUCCAUCCACAUCCUCGAAUUAGCUCAAUUAUUAAUAAAAACUUGUUUCAUGUGUUAUAUUUUUGUAAAAUAAAAGACACUUGUAAUCAAUAUCCUUUUUAUAAUUUAAAUUUUGUACACACUAAAUUGAAUAGUACUUAUACAAUGUUUAUAAACAAUAAAGAAUUCAAUAUGUUA
rnacentral:lncRNA from 1 species